ACUAACUACCGCAUAUUCUGUGAGCAAGGAAAGGAGGGGGAUCGCAAGACCUCUUGCUUUAGGAGCGGCCGAUGUCGGAUUAGCUAGUUGGCGAGGUAAAGGCUCACCAAGGCGACGAUCCGUAGCGGGUCUGAGAGGAUGAUCCGCCACACUGGGACUGAGACACGGCCCAGACUCCUACGGGAGGCAGCAGUGGGGAAUUUUGGACAAUGGGCGCAAGCCUGAUCCAGCCAUGCCGCGUGAGUGAAGAAGGCCUUCGGGUUGUAAAGCUCUUUCGGUGGGGAAGAAAUUGCUUCGGUUAAUACCUGGAGUAGAUGACGGUACCCGCAUAAGAAGCACCGGCUAACUACGUG
rnacentral:rRNA from 1 species